AUCAAAGUUGACAAUGGAGAAUGUCCCUUGGCAUUCUGAUGUGAAGGAAUUCUCUGAAGCCUUGGCUAAAAAGAGCAACGGAGAGUAUGAGGUUGCCUGUGAGCAUGUGCAUUCCUGCUGUGUUCUUCUGGCUAAAGUCGCUAAGUUCAAAAUAGACGGUCAAUGGUUCACGUGGAUAGACUACGAGAAGUUCCAUGAUCUGGUAGCUUCUGGGAAACCCUUUACAAGUAAAGAUUACAUGACACCUACACCAUCUUGGGCUGUCUAUGGAGCUGAGGAAGGUGGUUUUGACCCAGAGCAAUUGCGUUUCAAAAAAGAGCGGCACCACAGAUCAUCUCGUCAGGAAAAUGGUUCUUGAAAUGUUCGAAGCAGGUUUUCGUUACCUCUGGGAUGGCCUAAAAUUUUGUUCCUUCGACUUAGAUUUUGCUUUCCUCCAUUUUCCUAUACAAGUUGCAUUUCACUAUAUAACUGCCGAAGUUGUCA
rnacentral:misc_RNA from 1 species